rnacentral:rRNA from 1 species
UACGUAGGUGGCGAGCGUUGUCCCGGAAUUACUGGGUGUAAAGCGCGUGUAGGCGGGAGGCCAAGUCUGUGGUGAAAUCGCCCUGGCUUAACUGGGCGGGGUCCAUGGAACUGGUCACCUGGAGGUCGGUAGAGGCAAGUGGAAUUCCCGGUGUAGUGGUGAAAUGCGUAGAGAUCGGGAGGAACACCAGUGGCGAAGGCGGCUCACUGGUCCAUACUGACGCUGAGGUGCGAAAGCGUGGGGAGCAAACAGG